rfam:Medicago truncatula strain A17 chromosome 1, whole genome shotgun sequence.
CUAUAAGCAAAAAUUCACUUUUUAGAUUCAUUCAACAAAUGAUGUAUGUGGUCUAGACCACAUACAUCAUUUGUUGAAUGAAUCUAAAAAGUGAAUUUUUGCUUAUAA